GCGAAGGUGGCGGAAUUGGUAGACGCGCUAGCUUCAGGUGUUAGUGUUCUUACGGACGUGGGGGUUCAAGUCCCCCCGCCUCGCACCA
rnacentral:tRNA from 1 species